UCAAGGAGAAAUGCCACAUCAAUUUUAUUUUAAGCUAAGAAGAGAGAGGAGUUGCAAAUAUCAAUUUUGGGGGUGCACAGAGAAAAGGGGUUGAAUAUAGAAAACUUGGANUUUAAUUCUAAAAGUGCAGCCUCCACGGUCCACACAACUCCUUUGAAGAAGCACAUGAAGGANAAUCUUCACGGCCCAAAAGGAGACGCCACCAACACGNUGCAGCCCACANAUUGGUGUUGGUGUGUCACANCUUAGGANAUUAAUAUUGNGAGGUGCUACAAGUAGUUCAGAAGUUGGUCCAGCUUGGGAGGUGCUCACGUCCAGAAGCUUCAUGGCUGCAGCUGCAGCCCGCAUGAGAAGCANCACCCAUGGCUGCAUCUAAAUCUUCACGGGCCAUGUGCCAACACGUCCUNCAUCAAGCAUGCAGCUNCCAUCCUACCUUCAUGCAUCCAGCAGCUUGCACUCCACNAUGGCAGCAUCAGGCCCAAUGNAGAAGGAGCAACGCACACGGUCCAUGGCAUUCAGCUGCAGCAUCCAUCCNGCAAGCACCUGACCCAGNAGCUUGGGUGAAGACUUUGCUUUCAUGCAAUAAAANGAGGAGUGUCACGGUCNAAAAGAAGAGCACAAGCUGAAGCACUUUGAAGUUGGAGNUGUGCACAUUAUUACAUGUGGCNCUNGAAGCAAAGAAGUGGUCCAGCUGCCACCAAAAGGAUUCAUCUUUCAUUCAGCGGGCCCAUGAGCACGAAUGGGGUGUGCUGCCUGGAACAAAAAUAACACACAAUACCCAUGUCCAAAAAGNAAGGAGGUGCAGCCCAAUAACAAUGCGAAUGGUAGCAUUCUGCUGCAUGGAAUUAGGGGUUCAGGAUAGGACUUCAAGCAACCAGCAACUNGGGAAUUCCUUCUCCUNACGGACANCCCAACGUUUUCCUUCAUCCAGCGGGCUUCUAGGCUGCAACGUCCAGCUCCCAUCCAGCUUAACUCCACAUUUGUUUUCCAGCAGCACCUUUUCACGUAACAGCUCCACCACGGCCCAAGAAGCACGUCCAGCUUUGGAGACUCCAGCAGGUGUAGAAAACUUGGAGCCCACACNUCUAGCAACUGCUGUCUCGGUGUGUGCUGGAAGAGGUGCGUCUAGUAUUUUGGAACAGCAGCAGCUCCACG
rnacentral:lncRNA from 1 species